GAGGCAAUAGAAAACUGAGACUUGACUGCCUCUGGGUUUUGUAUCCCUGCUCCGAAAACCCCUCUUGUAAGCAUAACUGCGUCUCUUCGGACCUUCCUCCCUCUGCCCCUCUGGCAUGUGUUCUGGGCCCUGCAAAGGUUGCUCUUUACUGGGUUUUGUCAAGCCAACACAAAAUAAAUAUUUUCGGUUCCUUAAAGCUGGCGAGAGUAGGGGAGAGAUCAAGUGACAGCGCCUGGGAAUCAAUGCAGUCUCAUGCAACAGCAGGCUGGGUUCCGUGCAGGCUGGGAGCCUCGGAUUAGGAACACAUGGCCAGGGCUAGGUUGGUCCCUCCAGCGCCUCUCUUGACACGUGGGAGUUGAUGUGGAUCUAAGGAAGAAAUCAACAGCAAUAACAAAUCAAGCGUCAGGUGCUGUCAGGCCCGUGGAUUCUCCAAGUCUUGUAAAUAUCUCCCUCAGGCCAGAGAUGCCCUUAUUCCCAGACUUACCAAAUUGGAGGAUGGGUGGGAAGAGGUGCCCUGCCAAUCAGGAAGAGGAGCAAAAUCGCUCUGCUGGAGGAUCAUUAAAGAAAACAAAUCCUGGGGAGUGCUGAGCUCAAAUGUUUAAAAAAUCACACUUAGUGCAAAUAAAAACCUCAGAAAGUUGUGCCUGUUGUGGGUUUUCUCCCUUAGGAGAAUGCGAUUCUGGCAUCCAGUAGAAGAGCCAUCUGAAAUGAAGCCACACGGAGGCUCAGAGAGUCCCAUCCCUGUUCUCUGUCAGGGUGGGUGGCAGGAACUCUUCAUGAUAGAAAAAUAUCGAUCUCAUCCUUUCCAAAGCACGUUGCAGGAGUCAGGAAUGGGGAGACCACGAUGGAUUCCUGUCGCAAACAGAGAUUGUGGAAACAAAAUAUGUUUAAAUCUUAAGGUGUUUGUUCUAAGGUUGCACACUGUCAGACCAUCCUGCAUUUGAAUCAUCCCCGGUCAUCUGUUUGAGAUCCAUUCUAUCCUCCCUGAAGUCUUGCUCUACAAACCACUCAUCUUUUUCAAGCAAACGAUCUCUCUUCCUCUAGGAAGUGUUUUGCCACCCCCCUCCCCACGCUUCGGGAUGCCCUAUGUUUCUGUGGCCCUGCCGGCCUGUAGCCCUCCAUCCUGGCAUUUGGUCUCAGAUCCCCUUGCAUGAUUAUUCAUUUAUGUAUUUAUGUCUCCACUGCAAAGACCGUCAAGAAUGGGGAGAACACAAUGGAUUCCUGUUGCAAACAGUGAUUGUGCAGACAAGAUCAUGCCUACUCUCUGUCCUUUAUAAAUCCCGGUACAUUCAGUGACCACAGACGUAUGUUUCCAAAGAGAGAGUAAACUCCUUGAAGACCAAGUUAAUGGAUUUCCUUUCUCUUCUCCAUAUUUGCCACACACAGUGUCCGGUGCUGAGUACUUGUCAAUGGCCUGGGCAGAGGCUGUGAGAAAUGGCAGGGACCAGACCAACGCAGAGUGACUUCAACUUGUCACCAAAGGGAAGGAAUGAGAAUAUUCUACAUCCGGCUCAUGUUCUUCACACUAGAUGAGCAUCCAGAAGCCUCAUUAGGAUCCCUCAGGAAAGGUAAAGAUGACAAUGAUAAUAGCAGAGAGCUGUAGCAAUCCUUUUGAGUUUCUGUUAUGUACAACCAAGACUUUUGAGUAAUACUGUGAUUUUUCAGUAAUUUCCCAAUAAAGGCUGAGUAGAGGCAUCA
rnacentral:lncRNA from 1 species